CGUAGGGUGCGAGCGUUAAUCGGAAUUACUGGGCGUAAAGCGUGCGCAGGCGGUUUUGUAAGACAGGCGUGAAAUCCCCGGGCUCAACCUGGGAACUGCGCUUGUGACUGCAAGGCUAGAGUACGGCAGAGGGGGGUGGAAUUCCACGUGUAGCAGUGAAAUGCGUAGAGAUGUGGAGGAACACCAAUGGCGAAGGCAGCCCCCUGGGUCGAUACUGACGCUCAUGCACGAAAGCGUGGGUAGCAAACAGGAUUAGAUACCCUGGUAGUCCACGCCCUAAACGAUGUCAACUAGGUGUUGGGUGGGUAAAACCAUUUAGUACCGGAGCUAACGCGUGAAGUUGACCGCCCGGGGGAGUACGGCCGCAAGGUUA
rnacentral:rRNA from 1 species